CAGCCGCCGCGGGAAUACAGAGGGUGCAAGCGUUAAUCGGAAUUACUGGGCGUAAAGCGCGCGUAGGUGGUUUGUUAAGUUGGAUGUGAAAUCCCCGGGCUCAACCUGGGAACUGCAUCCAAAACUGGCAAGCUAGAGUAUGGUAGAGGGUGGUGGAAUUUCCUGUGUAGCGGUGAAAUGCGUAGAUAUAGGAAGGAACACCAGUGGCGAAGGCGACCACCUGGACUGAUACUGACACUGAGGUGCGAAAGCGUGGGGAGCAAACAGGAUUAGAUACCCAGUAGUCCCUGUCUCUUAUACC
rnacentral:rRNA from 1 species